rnacentral:rRNA from 1 species
GCGGCAGGCUUAACACAUGCAAGUCGAACGCAUCGCAAGAUGAGUGGCAGACGGGUGAGUAACGCGUGGGAAUCUACCGUACCCUACGGAAUAGCUCCGGGAAACUGGAAUUAAUACCGUAUACGCCCUUUGGGGGAAAGAUUUAUCGGGGUAUGAUGAGCCCGCGUUGGAUUAGCUAGUUGGUGGGGUAAAGGCCUACCAAGGCGACGAUCCAUAGMUGGUCUGAGAGGAUGAUCAGCCACAUUGGGACUGAGACACGGCCCAAACUCCUACGGGAGGCAGCAGUGGGGAAUAUUGGACAAUGGGCGCMARCCUGAUCCAGCCAUGCCGCGUGAGUGAUGAAGGUCUUAGGAUUGUAAAGCUCUUCACCGAUGAAGAUAAU